AAAACGCCCGUACCGCGCACAAGAGGCAGAAGCGCCCUCAGGCCGCCGCGCCGGUUCCGAGGGGCGCGGCGGGGCCCGGCCCGUGACCGCCCUCACGCACCUUUCGGCGGCGGCCCCGGGGGCGCGAGCGCCGCCCCCGCCCCGCCGCUGCCUCGUUACGCAACCGGUAACGGCUCCGGGCCCUGCCCGCGCCCCCGGCCCGGCCCUCCCGGCCGGGACAACCGCCGGCGGGACCCCCGCGCCCGGGCCGCAGGGACGGGCCCGCCCCGGGCGGCCCGCGGGGCUGAGGGCGCUGAGCGAGCGGCCCGCGGCCCCUCCGCAAGAAGAAUUCACAGCGUUACAGAGAGGGACUGCAAAGCCAGCGAGUUCUGCCUCGAGGCCCCGGACAAAGCUGGGCUGCCUGUGGAAGAGGAUGGAGAAGGCAUCAGUGUAAUGCUGUGUGCUGCCCAGAAAACACCUGUCAGCACGGGAAACCUGUGCUACUGCUUCCUGAUCUCUUAAAAUUGUAGCUAAUAAAUAAUAACAAAACCGGA